AAAUAUUUUUAAAGCGUAUGAUUAAUACACUUGCCUAUUGCUGCGUGGACUGUGCUGGGGGGGUCAGGGGGCAGAUAAAUGAAAGAGGAUAGCUGCACGCGGCGUUGACUGGCUGAUUAAUCACUGCCUGUUUUCUAUAACUCAUGGCAGAUGGCAGGAGCUGGCUGCAGGCCCUCGUUGGGAAUGAGGUGCUGCAGGCAGGAUGAACAGGGGUCGGGGGAGACCCUGGAAGGCCCCAGUUGUGUCGUGUUUUUUUUCCUCGGCCCUACAGACCUCCGUGUCCACCCCACCCCCUGCACUUCGUGGCAAUUCCCAAGUUCAAGAGCAGUGGCGUAGCUUCUGGGAAGACACAGGAAAUCUCAUUUCUCCCUUGGAUUUUUUAGGACCUAGAUAACGACACUGUCAAUUUUGGGAAUGGUCAACUUUGGGGUGGGGAGAGUCAGGUCCAGUGCAAUACUUGUAUAUAUUUUAUCUUCAAUUCUCCCAACAACCCCAUUUUCUAGAUAGGAAUUGUGAGGCUUGGCAAGGCAGACACAGGUAUUGUUCCCAGCUGGUCCCACCCAAAGCCUGCUCCUCGCUGUCCUCCCUUUUGCCCUCCCCAGGGGAGCAUCAUCAGCCCAAGGCCCAGAAGUGAAGGCCCUGGAGCUGGCACAGCUGCCCCCUCCCCGGGACCUCGGCCCUCUCCAUCCCUGGGGGCCACUGCAGUCUUCCCCUGGUACGGGACACAUUCUCCCCGUCAGGCCUGCAUGGCUAUUGCCCACCUCACCGUGCACAUUCAAUGGUGUUUUUGUCUCUUGACUUGUCUUUCCCAGGAGAUGAUGGAUUUCCUGGAGGCAGGAAGUGUGGCCACCACCGGGAGUAGCUCCAGGACCCGGCAUGGGUUAGGCUCUGGGGUGGUGUGACAGAUGUGUGUCCGGUCAGCCUAGCUGAGCUGAACUGCAGCACCCAGAACUCCCUUCCCUGCACAGGCUUGGGUUAUCUGGGGCCCCAGGGGAGGGGCAGAGGGAGCAGCAGUCAUGUCUUCCUUUUACACUCAGAAGGCGAGAGGGGCCAGUGCCUCCCAACACACAGGGGACUCGCAGGUGCUGCUGAUCUCAGGAGAUGGAUUUGGUGUCCAGGCAGCUGGGGCAUAGCUCUUCCAGCCCAGCCAGAGCCUCCUGUGGCCUUCUUGACUCCCAGGCCAGGUAUAUGCUUAGUUCAUGAAAGUGCCGGCUUCUUCCACGGGGUGCCCAUCCUCGAAGGUAGAGGCUUAGAGCAGGGGACAGAUUGACUUGGGGUCUGCCACUUCCCGGUGGGAGUUCCAGCUCAGCCUGUCAGGUUCCGUUUGUCCUCCUACCCCACUUCAUGGUCAUCCCCUUUUCCCCACGCCCGCCCUGCCAGCUCCACGCACCGGAGAAGCAGCAGUUCCCUUAGACGGGGUGGCCAGUGCCCAAGGUUUCACAAGGCCAAGUCCCUGUAAUAGGUCGUGUGUGUGUGUGUCUGUGUGUGUCUGUGUGUGUGUGUCUACGUGUUUGUGUGUCUGCAUGUGUCUGUGUGUAUCUGUGUGUGCGUGCGUGUCUAUGUAUCUGUGUGUGUCUGUGCGUAUCUGUGUGUGUGUGCGUGUCUAUAUAUGUAUGUGUGUGUGUCUGUGUGUGUGUCUGUGGGUGUGUCUGUGUGUCUGUGUGUGUGUCUGUGUGUAUACGUGUCUGUGUCUGCGUGUGUCUGUGUGUCUGUGUGUGUCUGCGUGUGUGUCUGUGUCUGUGUGUCUGUGGGUGUCUGCGUGUGUGUGUCUCUGUGUGUUUGUGUCUGUGUGUUGGUGUCCGCGUGUCUGUCCGUGUAGUGCGUGUGUGUGUCUGUGUAUGUCUGUAUGUCUGUGUAUGUUUCUGUAUGUUCCUGCAUGUGUGUGUCUCUGUGUGUGUGUUUGUGUCUAUGUGUGUGUGUCUUUGUGUGUCUGUGUGUUUCUGUGUGUGCGUGUGUGUCUCUGUGUGUUUGUGUCUGUGUCUGUGUGUGUGUGUCUGUGUGUGUGUCUCUGUGUCUGUGCGUGUGUGUCUGUGUGUCUGUGUGUGUGUCUGUGUGUGUCUCUGUGUCUGUGUGUCUGUGUGUGUGUGUGUGUCUGUGUGUGUGUGCGCGUGCAUGUCCUCUCACGUCCCAAUGUUCCACUUCUCUGAACUCUGACUGGUGCAGGUGGCAGAGCCUGUAGGAACGGAAUGGGAGGAGAUGGGAAACCCUUGUGGGAUGGGAACUGUCAGGUCGGGUUCUGCAGACUACGUGGGAAAGUGGAACACAGUGAUCCUGGCAGAGGGAACAGCAUGUGCAAAGACCAGGGGGUAGUGGGGCACAGUGCCUGAGCAGCCGUGGGUUCCUGUCCCGCCCAGAAGAGAAAAGGUCUGCAGAGGAAGCAGCGGCUGCCUGAGUGGAGCCCAGCCCGGCAAUGGGCAGUGGGAGCCAGGCUGGGCUUUCCUGCAGGAGGCACCACGUGGUUGCUGCAGAUGAGAGAGGGUGAUGCCCCCAGGAACUCCAGGCUGGCAGGGGUUAGGGACGGAAUUGACGUGGGCUGUACGGCGUUGGCCUAGUUCCUUGUUGGGGAUACAAUCAGGCGGGAGCGGCCUGUCCCUUAGGAUACAAUGACUGGGCUAUAGCAGUCGUGCUCUUGAUCAAGUUAAAAAGUGGCUGCUGGUAUCACUGGCCCC
rnacentral:lncRNA from 1 species